UCAAAACUUAGCAGCAUCAAUCAAUGUCAAGAUCUCUUGAAGACCGGUUCCUAGACAAAACUCCAUUUUGUCCUCUAGACAAAAACUCCAUUUUUUCCAUGAGACCCUGAGGUCUCCCCUCAAUUCUGGCAUUUGAUUGUAUUUGGACGAGAUUGCAAUCUCAAUUGGAGGGUCUAGAUUUUUUUCUUCUUCUAAGGAGUGGGUGCUUUGAAUUUGAUAGACGAUGGGCUUGAGACAAAAAAUGGCUGGCAAUCUUCUUCCCUUCCACUCUCGGUUCUCCCUCUUGUUCUUCUGCAUCUUCCUCCAUCCUUCAAGUAGUUAGGGCUAAUUUUUUAUGUUUUUCUGACAUUUUUCCUAAUAUUUCUAUUUUCUUGGCUAAAAGCAGCCAAUUUUUUUUUCCCAUCUCCUUCGUGUCCUUUUGUGAAACAAUGAGGAAGGGGAAGGUCAAUAUUUCAUCUCCACUAUCUUAUGUGAAUUUCUAGAAUGCAGAUAUGUUGCUUUUC
rnacentral:lncRNA from 1 species